rnacentral:rRNA from 1 species
UCCCAGACUCCUACGGGAGGCAGCAGUGAGGAAUAUUGGUCAAUGGGCUUACGCCUGAACCAGCCAAGUCGCGUGAGGGAAGACUGCCCUAUGGGUUGUAAACCUCUUUUGUCAGGGAACAAAGGCGGGGACUAGUCCCCGGAUGAGGGUACCUGAAGAAAAAGCAUCGGCUAACUCCGUGCCAGCAGCCGCGGUAAUACGGAGGAUGCGAGCGUUAUCCGGAUUUAUUGGGUUUAAAGGGUGCGUAGGCGGACAGUCAAGUCAGCGGUAAAAAUGCGGUGCUCAACGCCGUACAGCCGUUGAAACUGGCAGUCUUGAGUGGGCGAGAAGUAUGCGGAAUGCGUGGUGUAGCGGUGAAAUGCAUAGAUAUCACGCAGAACUCCGAUUGCGAAGGCAGCAUACCGGCGCCCUACUGACGCUGAGGCACGAAAGCGUGGGUAUCGAACAGGAUUAGAUACCCCAGUA